rnacentral:rRNA from 1 species
UCCUACGGGAGGCAGCAGUGGGGAAUAUUGGACAAUGGGGGCAACCCUGAUCCAGCCAUGCCGCGUGAGUGAUGAAGGCCCUAGGGUUGUAAAGCUCUUUUGUGCGGGAAGAUAAUGACGGUACCGCAAGAAUAAGCCCCGGCUAACUUCGUGCCAGCAGCCGCGGUAAUACGAAGGGGGCUAGCGUUGCUCGGAAUCACUGGGCGUAAAGGGUGCGUAGGCGGGUUUCUAAGUCAGAGGUGAAAGCCUGGAGCUCAACUCCAGAACUGCCUUUGAUACUGGAAGUCUUGAGUAUGGCAGAGGUGAGUGGAACUGCGAGUGUAGAGGUGAAAUUCGUAGAUAUUCGCAAGAACACCAGUGGCGAAGGCGGCUCACUGGGCCAUUACUGACGCUGAGGCACGAAAGCGUGGGGAGCAAACAGGAUUAGAUACCCUGGCAGUCCACGCCGUAAACGAUGAAUGCCAGCCGUUAGUGGGUUUACUCACUAGUGGCGCAGCUAACGCUUUAAGCAUUCCGCCUGGGGAGUACGGUCGCAAGAUUAAAACUCAAAGGA